CCUACGGGAGGCAGCAGUGGGGAAUAUUGCACAAUGGGCGCAAGCCUGAUGCAGCGACGCCGCGUGCGGGAUGGAGGCCUUCGGGUUGUAAACCGCUUUUGUUCAAGGGCAAGGCACGGUCUUUGGCCGUGUUGAGUGGCUUGUUCGAAUAAGCCCCGGCUAACUACGUGCCAGCAGCCGCGGUAAUACGUAGGGUGCAAGCGUUAUCCGGAUUUAUUGGGCGUAAAGGGCGCGUAGGCGGUUCGUCGCGUCCGAUGUGAAAGUCCAUCGCUUAACGGUGGAUCUGCGCCGGGUACGGGCGGGCUUGAGGGCGGUAGAGGAGACUGGAAUUCCCGGUGUAGCGGUGGAAUGUGUAGAUAUCGGGAAGAAAACCAGUGGCGAAGGCAGGUCGCUGGGCAGUUACUGACGCUGAGGAGCGAAAGCGUGGGGAGCGAACAGGAUUAGAUACCCGUGUAGUC
rnacentral:rRNA from 1 species